rnacentral:rRNA from 1 species
CAGUAGCCGCGGGAACACGGAGGGGGCUAGCGUUGUUCGGAAUUACUGGGCGUAAAGCGCACGUAGGCGGCUUGGUAAGUUAGAGGUGAAAGCCUGGAGCUCAACUCCAGAAUUGCCUUUAAGACUGCCGAGCUAGCAGGUGAGAGAGGUAAGUGGAAUUCCGAGUGUAGAGGUGAAAUUCGUAGAUAUUCGGAAGAACACCAGUGGCGAAGGCGGCUUACUGGCUCAUACUGGACGCUGAGGCGCGAAAGCGUGGGGAGCAAACAGGAUUAGAUACCCGGGUAGUCCCUGUCUCUUAUAC